rnacentral:rRNA from 1 species
CAGAGGGCGCAAGCGUUGUUCGGAAUUACUGGGCGUAAAGCGCGCGUAGGCGGAUCUGUUUGUCCGUAAGUGAAAUCCCGCCGCUCAACGGCGGGGCUGCUUGGGAAACGGCAGGUCUGGGGACCGGUAGGGGUCGGUAGAAUUCCCGGUGUAGCGGUGGAAUGCGUAGAGAUCGGGAAGAAUACCCGUGGCGAGGGCGGCCGACUGGGCCGGAUCCGACGCUAAUGCGCGAAAGCGUGGGGAGCAAACAGGAUUAGAUACCCUGGUAGUCCACGCCGUAAACGAUGGGCACUAGGUGCCGGGGGGAGCGACCCCUUCGGUGCCGCAGCUAACGCGUUAAGUGCCCCGCCUGGGGAGUACGGCCGCAAGGCUG